CUUGUACUCCCUCCGUCCCAAAAUUCUUGUCUUAGAUUUGUCUAGAUACGGAUGUAUCUAACACUAAAACGUAACUAGAUACAUCCGUAUUUAGACAAAUCUAAGACAAGAAUUUUGGGAUGGAGGGAGUAUUUG
rnacentral:pre_miRNA from 1 species